GAUGAACGCUAGCUACAGGCUUAACACAUGCAAGUCGAGGGACCGGCGCACGGGUGAGUAACACGUAUCCAACCUGCCCUUUACUCGUGGAUAGCCUUUCGAAAGAAAGAUUAAUACCCGAUAUAAGGGUUGGGGAUCUGUUCAUUUAGGUUGUUGGUGAGUUAACGGCCCACCAAGCUUUCGAUGGAUAGGGGUUCUGGGAGGAAGGUCACACACAUUGGAACAGAGACACGGUCCAAACUCCGACGGGAGGAAGCAGGGAGGAAGAUUGGUCAAUGGGCGUUAGCUUGAACCAGCCAAGUAGCGUGAAGGAGGAAGGCUUAUGGGUCGUAAACUUCUUUUAUAUAAGAAGAUGUAUUAUAUGAAUAAGGAUCGGCUAACUCCGGGCCAGCAGCCGCGGUAAUAC
rnacentral:rRNA from 1 species